rnacentral:tRNA from 2 species
GGAAGUGUGGCCGAGUGGUUUAAGGCACCGGUCUUGAAAACCGGCGACGAGCAAUCGUCCGUGAGUUCGAAUCUCACCGCCUCCGCCA